rnacentral:rRNA from 1 species
AGUGAACGCUGGCGGUAGGCCUAACACAUGCCAGUCGAACGGCAGCACAGUAAGAGCUUGCUCUUACGGGUGGCGAGUGGCGGACGGGUGAGGAAUACAUCGGAAUCUACUUUUUCGUGGGGGAUAACGUAGGGAAACUUACGCUAAUACCGCAUACGACCUACGGGUGAAAGCAGGGGAUCUUCGGACCUUGCGCGAUUGAAUGAGCCGAUGUCGGAUUAGCUAGUUGGCGGGGUAAAGGCCCACCAAGGCGACGAUCCGUAGCUGGUCUGAGAGGAUGAUCAGCCACACUGGAACUGAGACACGGUCCAGACUCCUACGGGAGGCAGCAGUGGGGAAUAUUGGACAAUGGGCGCAAGCCUGAUCCAGCCAUACCGCGUGGGUGAAGAAGGCCUUCGGGUUGUAAAGCCCUUUUGUUGUGAAAGAAAAGCAGCAGGUUAAUACCCCGCUGUUCUGACGGUACCCAAAGAAUAAGCACCGGCUAACUUCGUG